rnacentral:rRNA from 1 species
UUUACGAUGGAGAGUUUGAUCCUGGCUCAGGAUGAACGCUAGCGGCAGGCCUAAUACAUGCAAGGCGAAGGGGCAGCAAUGUCACUGUCGUACGGGUGCGUAACGCGUAUGCAACCUACCUAUCACAGGGGGAUAGCCUUUGGAAACAGGGAUUAAUACCGCAUAAAGCAGGGACUCCGCAUGGAGAUAUUGCUAAAGAUUUAUCGGUGAUAGAUGGGCAUGCGUCUGAUUAGUUAGUUGGUAGGGUAACGGCCUACCAAGACGAUGAUCAGUAGGGGGCGUCAGAGCGUGGUCCCCCACACUGGCACUGAGAUACGGGCCAGACUCCUACGGGAGGCAGCAGUAGGGAAUAUUGGGCAAUGGAUGCAAGUCUGACCCAGCCAUGCCGCGUGCAGGAAGAAGGUCCUCUGGAUUGUAAACUGCUUUUAUCGGGGAAGAAUAGGUCUCUUGCGAGGGAUUGUGACGGUACCCGAUGAAUAAGCCACGGCUAACUACGUGCCAGCAGCCGCGGUAAUACGUAGGUGGCAAGCGUUGUCCGGAUUUAUUGGGUUUAAAGGGUGCGUAGGUGGUUUUAUAAGUCAGUGGUGAAAGCUGGUUGCUCAACAAUCAAGUUGCCAUUGAUACUGUUAGACUUGAGAGAAGUGGAGGUUCAUGGAAUGGAUGGUGUAGCGGUGAAAUGCAUAGAUAUCAUCCAGAACGUCGAUUGCGAAGGCAGUGGGCUGUACUUUUUCUGACACUGAGGCACGAAAGCGUGGGGAUCAAACAGGAUUAGAUACCCUGGUAGUCCACGCUGUAAACGAUGCGAACUAGCUUUCGGGUUU